rnacentral:snRNA from 1 species
UCGGCUGCUUUGUUGAGC